rnacentral:miRNA from 1 species
UAGCAAGAGAACCAUUACCAUU